rnacentral:lncRNA from 1 species
UUUUAGCUCUAUAAAUGAGCUUUCUUUGGGUUUUAUUAUUGGCCCUCCAAGCUUUGCCGAAACCCUAGAUAGUUGAGGAUCUGAACACAGUGCCGGAACCCAACCCUAGCGAUUACUUGUCUUCGGGUGAUCGGAACAAAGUGACAAAUCUGACAUAGUGCCGGAAACCUAGCAGAGUUGAGAAGAAAGGCCGGCACCGUGCCUUCGACA